GAUGAACGCUAGCUACAGGCUUAACACAUGCAAGUCGAGGGGUAACGAGAGGAAAGCUUGCUUUCCUUGUCGACGACCGGCGCACGGGUGAGUAACGCGUAUCCAACCUGCCCCCAACUAGGGAAUAACCUUGCGAAAGUAAGACUAAUACCCUAUAAUUUCCUCAGGUGACAUCUGACGAGGAAUAAAGAUUUAUCGGUUGUGGAUGGGGAUGCGUCUGAUUAGCUUGUUGGCGGGGUAACGGCCCGCCAAGGCAACGAUCAGUAGGGGUUCGGGGAGGAAGGUCCCCCACAUUGGAAAUGAUACACGGUCCAAACUCCUAGGGGAGGCAGCAGUGAGGAAUAUUGGUCAAUGGGCGGAAGCCUGAACCAGCCAAGUAGCGUGCAGGAUGACGGCCCUAUGGGUUGUAAACUGCUUUUAUACAAGAAUAAGGUUAGCCACGUGUGGUUAUUUGUAGGUACUGUAUGAAUAAGGACCGGCUAAUUCCGUGCCAGCCGCCGCGGUAA
rnacentral:rRNA from 1 species